rnacentral:rRNA from 1 species
AGCCAGACUCCUACGGGAGGCAGCAGUGGGGAAUAUUGCACAAUGGGGGAAACCCUGAUGCAGCAACGCCGCGUGAGUGAAGAAGUAUUUCGGUAUGUAAAGCUCUAUCAGCAGGGAAGAGAAUGACGGUACCUGACUAAGAAGCCCCGGCUAACUACGUGCCAGCAGCCGCGGUAAUACGUAGGGGGCAAGCGUUAUCCGGAUUCACUGGGUGUAAAGGGAGCGUAGACGGCGACGCAAGUCUGGAGUGAAAGCCCGGGGCCCAACCCCGGGACUGCUCUGGAAACUGCGUCGCUGGAGUACGGGAGGGGCAGGCGGAAUUCCUAGUGUAGCGGUGAAAUGCGUAGAUAUUAGGAGGAACACCAGUGGCGAAGGCGGCCUGCUGGACGAUGACUGACGUUGAGGCUCGAAAGCGUGGGGAGCAAACAGGAUUAGAUACCCUAGUA